GGGGAUGAUUGUGAUGGUGUGGCUGUUGCUGGGAAGGAUAUACAUGGUAGUAAGCAGGGAUUGGGACUGCACCAGUUGGGUGAUGGUGUAUGUAAUGUGUACCAGUGUGUAUAAACUGUUGGGGUUGAGGCUGCGGUGGUGGUUGUUGUUGUUGUUGUUGUUGUUGUUCGAAUUGGGGUUGUAAAAGAUACCCAGAAUCCUGAACCGGAAUCCGGGUGUUGGGAUCAGAGACGUUGAUCUUCGGAUCAACAGGGUUGCCGGCAACCCUGCUGACUCCGGAGGGGAUUUGAACAACUGAAUCCUGAUAUACUACAGGUUUUGGACGAGACAGAGGAUUGUUCAUACUACUAUCACUGAAAAAUUAACACCAGCAAACAAACAUGAGGAAACCCAAUUCAGAUUCUAAUCAUGAUUUCUCACCCAAAAAACAGAAAUGAUCAUGUUCGUUCAUGAGAGAAGUUAGAAAUAAUCGGAAGAAACAAUAGUCACCACCAUGGGAGUAAAGUUGUUGCAAUGAAAAUGGUACCUUGCAACUGAAUCAGGAGAAGGCAAAUCGUGACCACCACCGGACUUUUGUGGAGGCUGAGGAGGCAGGUUUUGCGUCUGUGACGGAGGAGCCGCUGAUUUCCGGUAUCCAACCGGCACCCCAUGGUCCGAUCUCUCAUCAUCGGAGAAAACCCGAUUCAGGUACUCCCCAGAAGCCGCCGCACCACUCACCUGUACUCCGGCUAUAGCAAUGGUCGUCGGC
rnacentral:lncRNA from 1 species